rnacentral:rRNA from 1 species
AGCUCCAAUAGCGUAUAUUAAAGUUGCUGCAGUUAAAAAGCUCGUAGUUGAAUUUGUGGCGCGGCCAUCCGGCGGGGGCUCUUCAUUGAGCCCGUUUGUCCUGGUUUUUGGCCGUUCCUUUCUCGGGUAGCGUGUGGCUGGCAUUAGGUUGUUGGCUGCUUCGCCCGUUGGAUACAUUAGCAUGGAAUAAUAAGAUAGGGCCACGACGGUCUAUUUUGUUGGUUUGCACGUUGUGGUAAUGGUUAACAGGAAUAGUUGGGGGUAUUCGUAUUCAAUUGUCAGAGGUGAAAUUCUUGGAUUUGUGGAAGACGAACUACUGCGAAAGCAUUUACCAAGGAUGUUUUCA